GGCCCGGUGGCGGAAUCGGCAGACGCUGGGGACUUAAAAUCCCCUGCCCCUCGGGGCGUGAGGGUUCAAAUCCCUCCCGGGCCA
rnacentral:tRNA from 1 species